AUAUCCCACCCUUCAAACCGAAACACAGCCAUGCAAACACAACUGCUUCACGGUAGAAACACGAAUGGGACAGAGGUAGCCAAGCAAUCGACUUUUGUAUAAAGUCUCCCUCUGGUAAAGUUCCCUUAGUCGCCUCUUACGACACCCACGGGAAUGGAAGAGGUAGUGCGUUCUAUGGCGGGACCACGCUGCGGAUUGUUUUAUAAAUUACAGUAAAAUUACAUAGUUAAUAAUUUAUUUAUUUAACUCUUUAUUGCACCAUAAAUAAAAAUAUACAAUGACAAGUGAAUAAUUCAAGUGAAAUACAGUAACAUAAAUACAGAUUGAAAUAUACACAUAAAGGUACAAAAGGCGGUCUUAUCGCUAGGGCGAUCUCUUACAGGCAACCUUUAGAAUUUUUUUUUCUUGUAAUGUGGAAACUGAUGUCAGUCACACUAGCGCUACGGUGUGGACCUUGCAUGAAGUAAAGUUAGUGUUGCUACUAUAAAAAAUAGCAAUUUCUAGAAGUUUCUGGAAUUUUGUAGUAAGUAAUAACAUCAUCAUUAUCACAACCAUUUAUUGUCUAUUCUUGAACAUAGGCCUUCUCUUGAGAAUUUUGCCAGUUGCCACACUUGGCAGGCGGGUUAGCAACCGCAUUAAGGCUUUAGAGAUGUUUUAAAAGGGACGCUGUUGCCCCUCACUAAACUAUUACGUUGUCUUAGUCGCCUCUUACGACACCCACGGGAAUGGAAGGGGUGGUCCAUUCUAUGCCGGGACCACACGGUAAUUAGCAAUUAAUUAAUGUGUUCCAUAAAUUAGUGAAAUAAAAUAUUUUUGCAUUUUAA